AACGCAAGUUGCGCCCGAGGCCAUCCGGCUAAGGGCACGCCUGCCUGGGCGUCACGCUUUCGACGCUUCGUCGUUGCCCCCUCGGGGGGUGUGGGCGAACGUGGAGGAUGGCCCCCCGUGCCGGAAAGGUGCGGUUGGCCGAAGAGCGGGCCGUCGGUGGUUGUCGAACACGACGCGUGGUGGAUGCCUUGUGCGAGCCGUACGUCGUGCCUUCGGGACCCGGGCGAGGCCUCGAGGACCCAAGUCGUGGUGCGAGUCGAUGCCACGGACCGCGACCCCAGGUCAGGUGGGGCUACCCGCUGAGUUUAA
rnacentral:misc_RNA from 1 species